GAGGAAUAUUGCGCAAUGGGCGAAAGCCUGACGCAGCAACGCCGCGUGAAGGACGAAGGCCUUCGGGUCGUAAACUUCUUUUCUGAGGGAAGAGCAAGGACGGUACCUCAGGAAUAAGCCUCGGCUAACUACGUGCCAGCAGCCGCGGUAAAACGUAGGAGGCGAGCGUUAUCCGGAUCUACUGGGCGUAAAGCGCACGCAGGUGGCUUCGUAAGUCGGACAUGAAAGCUCCUGGCUUAACUGGGAGAGGUUGUUCGAUACUGCGGGGCUUGAGGUUGGGAGAGGGACGUGGAAUUCCCGGUGUAGUGGUGGAAUGCGUAGAUAUCGGGAGGAACACCAGUGGCGCAAGCGGCGUCCUGGCCCACACCUGACGCUGAGGUGCGAAAGCGUGGGUAGCAAAC
rnacentral:rRNA from 1 species